GAGAAGGAAGAAACGUAUGUUACGAGACAUGUGUCAAAAUUUAGUGAAUUUCAGACCUUUCUUUGGUUCUUUGCUUUCUCUCUCGAAACAUAAACGGCAACUCUCUGCCUCUAGUUGAUUCUUCAACCAUCUCGCGAUCUUUGAUCAAUCUCUGAAGAAUCUCGUGAGGAGGAAAUUGGAUAAAGCUUCACUCUUUCGAGUCAAUCACAUCUCCCAAAACAAAACCCAUCUCCGCAAUUUUUAAUCUCACUUCCCCAGCCAUAGAUUUCGUCAGGGGGUUCGGGAUUAAGCAUAGAAGAAAGCUUAUGGAGAGGCUGAACAGAGGGAAAGGGAUGUUGAUAUGGCUUCUCCUUGCUUCUUUCUCUGUUGCUGGAUUGGUUCUAUUCAUGGUUCAGCACUGUCAUCAACAACAAGAUCCAUCUCAGCUAACACUUGUUCUUUGCUGAAUGAAAGCCUAGGUGGUUUGGAAUUCGUUUAGUGAAGUUGCAUCACACCAAGAUUCAUUUGACAGGAGCCAACCAUGUCUUGUGAUCUUAGUUUGAUAUGGUAAAGUGUGUUCUUGCGUUUUUCUUCUUUAGUAUAAAACAAUGUCUUUGUUUAUAUUAACUGCAAAGUGAAUUAAAAUAACAAAUGUUUACUCAUAUGGACCAAUGGAAUUGAACAUCUUGGAUGCAGUA